rnacentral:rRNA from 1 species
UACGUAGGGGGCAAGCGUUGUCCGGAUUUAUUGGGCGUAAAGAGCGUGUAGGCGGCUAGAUAGGUCCGUUGUGAAAACUCGAGGCUCAACCUCGAGACGUCGAUGGAAACCAUCUGGCUAGAGUCCGUAAGAGGAGAGUGGAAUUCCUGGUGUAGCGGUGAAAUGCGCAGAUAUCAGGAAGAACACCCGUGGCGAAGGCGGCUCUCUGGGACGGUACUGACGCUGAGACGCGAAAGCGUGGGGAGCGAACAGG